AAAACGGAGAGAGACUAAUUAUUGCAUAUGGUGAGGUGACUUUUAAUUGUGUGUAUUUGUAAAGAACGAUCACACUUCAACAAGUCACCUCCCACCACUAGGUUUUAACACAAUUGCCCCUGAAGAGGAGGAGUUCUGUCUGGCGUUCUGCUUAGACACCUAAACUCAGGAGGCUGUCACUCAGUCACAACAGGGUCUUUUGAACUGUCCAUUCAGAGGCGGGGACGGAGUAGGUGGGUGGGGCGAAGCGUCCCAACCCCCCGGAAGUUGUUGCUGCUCCAGCCACGCUGCGGACCGUCUCCCCGCCAUUUAAGGCUCCACGUGGUUCUGUUGCCUGUUUUGUCGAGUUGAGACCUGUACCCACCUCGGGAGUCAUAGGAAGGACUUCGGGGGGACCCAGGAAAACUAGAAAUGUCCCUGGUGGCUGUGCGGCAGCCUCUGUCGCGCUGUGACCUGCACUGGCCGUGGGGGUCGUAGGAAGGACUCAGGUAACCCAGGAGCCCUAGAAAUGGAGGCACCCGUUUUUUCCUGAGUAUUCCACGUAUUUGGGGAGCAGCGUCUGAAAUCCACAACCCUGUCUCCCCAGCCUAGGUCUUUUUAGGGCUGACAGCAAAUGCCUAAAUAUCCAGUCUCUCCCCAAAUUCCCAAAUGCCAACGUCCUUCCUUUGAUUAACAGCAUUGUCGUCAACUAUUUGUUCUCCUUGUUGGAUUUCAAACAGAUCCAAUAUUUAAUUGUUUAUCAUUUUCUCCCAGUCACUGGAUGGCUGCUUUUAAAGGAUUUAUUUUGUGUGUGGAUGUUUUCCAUGAGUAAAAAGCAGCCCAUAACCACCUGGAACUACAUUGUAUGAAAUCCUUGUGUGUCUCCCCCAGGAUCUUGCUGGGCACAGACAUCCUAGGGCACGUCUUUUGGGUGGAGGUUUUUCUUAAGAAGCUUCUCUGGAUGAUCUGUCCUGUCAGCACUGUUCCUACCUGAGUUGGUCACCUUUGAAAGACUUACUUUAUUUUAGUUUCAGUUUUUCAGUAAGUAAAAACUUAUUUAGUCGAUACGACUCGAAACACAAUAUAAGGCAUUACCAAAGAGGGAAGAAAGAGAUGAAUUUCAGAAAAAAUAACAUAUUCCAGUUGUACAUUGCAUGUACUAAUCCUUUCCUUUUUUUCUUCCCUUCUGGAUAGUAAUAUUCUGGGGUCUGUUCUUUUAUCUUGGGUGAGUUAAAAUGGAUUUCCAGGGUUUAGACUUGUAGAUUUGAAGUGUUCAUGUAUGAUUACUAGUUUAUAAAUAGUGUCUUAUAAUGAAAAUACAAGUAUAAAAAUAGUAUAUUAACAUCUUUUUUUCCCAGAAUGCAGUACGUCCUUGUGAAGUUUUUGUUGAGCCAACAACAUGCAAUACAAUUUUCUUCGCUCAUUUAGGCAUAAAGACUAAUUUGAGUGUUUUAGCUGGAUUGUUCAAACACUGAGUUUGUGUCAUUUAAAAUAUCAGUGGUGGGCCAAAAAAAAUCCAGUGGGACAGAAGACUGAGGGCAGUGAGUCUAAGCUGAGGCCCCCUUGAGCCUGCAGAGGGAAGGCCUUGAAGGCCCAGCUCUUCUUCCUGGGGAGCCUCCCCUUGCGGGUGUCUUACUGCUCACACCCCCAUGGAAGAAGCCUUUAUCCUGAGAGGAGCUGCAGAGCCCUGGAAAGCUGGGGUGCACAUGCUCAUGGGGUGGGGAGUCACUUCCUUUCUGAGGUUGUCACUGUGGUUCCCUUGGGUCUGUUUCUAGACAUAACUGGAGUUGUGCAUCCACAGUAUGGGUGCACUCAGAGAGUAAUUUGUUUACACAGAGAAAGUCUGUGAGAGUCAGGAGCUCUGUGUCCUGGAUUAGGGCCCAUUAAUCUGGGGUCCAUUUGGGUCAGAACCUUAAACUGGAUCCAGCUGAGUUUCCUCACUGUGAGAAUGGAGCCUGAGAGAGGGAGCAUGUGCACUGUUCCCUGGGGAGGGGAGGGUGUGUGGGGCUCCCAGAGCUCCUUCCUGUGGCUGCUCAGGUGCCCUCCCCUCCUUCUCCAGGGACUGACCCCCUCCAGGGCUCUGUCUCCACCAGGAGAGUCAGGAACUCGGGACCUCUGACCGUGGCUUUCCUUCUGUCCUGUGGGAAGCAGGCUGCUCGUCUGAGCUGAUUCCAGUAUUUGUGUUACUUCCCUGUGGAUUCCUCUGUCGAUGGACUAGGGCAGCCCUUUGGCUCUAGUUUCCCUUAGCACUUGGGGCUGAAACUGUAAGUUGAUGGAGAGAUAGGAUGUGAGGAGAGCAAGAAAUGUUUGUCAUUUUUGGACAAGUUUUUCUAUGUGCAUUUCUCUAGUAACAGAGAAAUUUAAAAGGCUUAAGUAAUUAAAUUUCUACUUUAAUUGGUGUAAGGAAAACUUAUGAAAGCUAUGUAUAUGUUUGAAAACCCGAUACGUUUAAGGGGUUAAACUCAAACCUUGAUUGCAUUAUGCCACUUAAUGUUUGAAAAUACCCCAAUGUGAGAUGUAGAGGAUGGACAAACUAGGAUGCCGCAUGUCCUUUUAGUAAGAAAGAGAUUUGAAAGUUUUAUUUUGUAUGGUUUACAAUUUUGUAACUGUUAGUGUUUAAAGGAAUUAAAUCUUAGAAUGGUUUCCUAUGUA